UAAGCAUAUCAAUAAGCGGAGGAAAAGAAACUAACAAGGAUUCCCUUAGUAACUGCGAGUGAAGAGGGAAAAGCUCAAAUUUAAAAUCUGGCAGUGUUUCACUGUCCGAGUUGUAACCUAGAGAAGUGUAACCUGUGCUGGACCGUGUAUAAGUCUCCUGGAAUGGAGCAUCAUAGAGGGUGAGAAUCCCGUCUUUGACAUGGACUACCAGUGCAUUGUGGUUGCGCUCUCAACGAGUCGAGUUGUUUGGGAAUGCAGCUCUAAAUGGGUGGUAAAUUCCAUCUAAAGCUAAAUAUUGGCGAGAGACCGAUAGCGAACAAGUACCGUGAGGGAAAGAUGAAAAGAACUUUGGAAAGAGAGUUAAACAGUAUGUGAAAUUGUUGAAAGGGAAACGUUUGAAGUCAGUCGCGUUGGUUGGGGAUCAGCCUGACAUUGUUGGGUGUACUUCCUGGUUGACGGGCCAACAUCAGUUUUGACUGCCAGAAAAAGGCCAAAGGAAUGUGGCACCUUUGGGUGUGUUAUAGCCCUUGGUCGUAUAUGGUGGUUGGGACUGAGGAAAGCAGCGUGCCGAAAGGCCGGGUUUCGACCACGUUCACGCUGAGGAUGUUGGCAUAAUGGCUUUAAGCGACCCGU
rnacentral:rRNA from 1 species